rnacentral:sRNA from 1 species
UCUAUGGAGGGCAAUGGAUUAUAUCCAG